rnacentral:rRNA from 1 species
AACGAACGCUGGCGGCGCGCCUAACACAUGCAAGUCGAACGAGAAGGCGUAGCAAUACGCUUGUAGAGUGGCGAACGGGUGAGUAAUACGUGGGUGACCUACCCUCGAGUGGGGAAUAACCCGCCGAAAGGCGGGCUAAUGCCGCGUACGCUUCCGUCCUCACGGGGACGGAAGGAAAGCUGUACCGUGGGUACGGCGCUCAAGGAUGGGCUCACGUCCUAUCAGCUUGUUGGUAGGGUGANGGCCUACCAAGGCGACGACGGGUAGCCGGCCUGAGAGGGCGACCGGCCACACUGGGACUGAGACACGGCCCAGACUCCUACGGGAGGCAGCAGUGGGGAAUCUUGCGCAAUGGGCGAAAGCCUGACGCAGCGACGCCGCGUGAGGGAU